AAGUCGUAACAAGGUUUCCGUAGGUGAACCUGCGGAAGGAUCAUCGUUGAUACCACCUGUGGGUUUAUUUUUUUUCAGAUCCCAACCAAAAGGAGAGGCGUUGACUGAGGAUGUUUUGGCGAGGGAAAAAAGGACAAAACUUUCAACAACGGAUCUCUUGGCUCUCA
rnacentral:misc_RNA from 1 species